GAUGAACGCUGACAGAAUGCUUAACACAUGCAAGUCAACUUGAACUUCGGUUUGGGUGGCGGACGGGUGAGUAACGCGUAAAGAACUUGCCUCACAGCUAGGGACAGCAUUUGGAAACGAAUGCUAAUACCUGAUAUUAUGAUUAUAUGGCAUCGUAUAAUUAUGAAAGCUAUAUGCGCUGUGAGAGAGCUUUGCGUCCCAUUAGCUAGUUGGAGAGGUAACAGCUCACCAAGGCGAUGAUGGGUAGCCGGCCUGAGAGGGUGAUCGGCCACAAGGGGACUGAGACACGGCCCUUACUCCUACGGGAGGCAGCAGUGGGGAAUAUUGGACAAUGGACCGAGAGUCUGAUCCAGCAAUUCUGUGUGCACGAUGAAGUUUUUCGGAAUGUAAAGUGCUUUCAGUUGGGAAGAAAAAAAUGACGGUACCAACAGAAGAAGUGACGGCUAAAUACGUG
rnacentral:rRNA from 1 species